AUGCUAAAUACAACAGGUGUAGUAGACCUUACAGUGACAUGCUAAAUACAACAGGUGUAGUAGACAUUACAGUGAAAUGCUGAAUACAACAGGUGUAGUAGACCUUACAGUGAAAUGCUGAAUACAACAGGUGUAGUAGACCUUACAGUGAAAUGCUGAAUACAACAGGUGUAGUAGACCUUACAGUGAAAUGCUGAAUACAACAGGUGUAGUAGACCUCACAGUGAAAUGCUGAAUACAACAGGUGUAGUAGACCUUACAGUGAAAUGCUAAAUACAACAGGUGUAGUAGACCUUACAGUGAAAUGCUGAAUACAACAGGUGUAGUAGACCUCCCAGUGAAAUGCUGAAUACAACAGGUGUAGUAGACCUCCCAGUGAAAUGCUGAAUACAACAGGUGUAGUAGACCUUACAGUGAAAUGCUGAAUACAACAGGUGUAGUAGACCUUACAGUGAAAUGCUGAAUACAACAGGUGUAGUAGACCUUACAGUGAAAUGCUGAAUACAACAGGUGUAGUAGACCUUACAGUGAAAUGCUGAAUACAACAGGUGUAGUAGACCUUACAGUGAAAUGCUGAAUACAACAGGUGUAGUAGACCUCACAGUGAAAUGCUGAAUACAACAGGUGUAGUAGACCUUACAGUGAAAUGCUAAAUACAACAGGUGUAGUAGACCUUACAGUGAAAUGCUGAAUACAACAGGUGUAGUAGACCUCCCAGUGAAAUGCUGAAUACAACAGGUGUAGUAGACCUCACAGUGAAAUACUGAAUACAACAGGUGUAGUAGACCUCACAGUGAAAUGCUGAAUACAACAGGUGUAGUAGACCUCACAGUGAAAUACUGAAUACAACAGGUGUAGUAGACCUCACAGUGAAAUACUGAAUACAACAGGUGUAGUAGACCUCACAGUGAAAUGCUGAAUACAACAGGUGUAGUAGACCUCACAGUGAAAUACUGAAUACAACAGGUGUAGUAGACCUCACAGUGAAAUACUGAAUACAACAGGUGUAGUAGACCUUACAGUGAAAUGCUGAAUACAACAGGUGUAGUAGACCUCCCAGUGAAAUGCUGAAUACAACAGGUGUAGUAGACCUCACAGUGAAAUGCUGAAUACAACAGGUGUAGUAGACCUCACAGUGAAAUACUGAAUACAACAGGUGUAGUAGACCUCACAGUGAAAUACUGAAUACAACAGGUGUAGUAGACCUCACAGUGAAAUGCUGAAUACAACAGGUGUAGUAGACCUCACAGUGAAAUACUGAAUACAACAGGUGUAGUAGACCUCACAGUGAAAUACUGAAUACAACAGGUGUAGUAGACCUCACAGUGAAAUGCUGAAUACAACAGGUGUAGUAGACCUCACAGUGAAAUGCUGAAUACAACAGGUGUAGUAGACCUCACAGUGAAAUGCUGAAUACAACAGGUGUAGUAGACCUCACAGUGAAAUACUGAAUACAACAGGUGUAGUAGACCUCACAGUGAAAUACUGAAUACAACAGGUGUAGUAGACCUUACAGUGAAAUGCUGAAUAAAACAGGUGUAGUAGACCUCACAGUGAAAUGCUGAAUACAACAGGUGUAGUAGACCUCACAGUGAAAUACUGAAUACAACAGGUGUAGUAGACCUCACAGUGAAAUGCUUACUGACGAGCCAUUUCCUAACAAUGCAGAGGUUAACGGCAAGACAUAUUUGCUAAUAAAAAAGGGAAACAGUAACACAAUAAAAUAACAAUAAUCAGGCUAUAGUACCAGGUAGUAAUGAGGCUAUAUACAGGAAGUACCAGGUAGUAAUGAGACUAUAUACAGGAAGUACCAGGUAGUAAUGAGACUAUAUACAGGAAGUACCAGGUAGUAAUGAGGCUAUAUACAGGAAGUACCAGGUAGUAAUGAGGCUAUAUACAGGAAGUACCAGGUAGUAAUGAGGCUAUAUACAGGAAGUACCAGGUAGUAAUGAGGCUAUAUACAGGAAGUACCAGUUAGUAAUGAGACUAUAUACAGGAAGUACCAGUUAGUAAUGAGACUAUAUACAGGAAGUACCAGGUAGUAAUGAGACUAUAUACAGGAAGUACCAGGUAGUAAUGAGGCUAUAUACAGGAAGUACCAGGUAGUAAUGAGGCUAUAUACAGGAAGUACCAGGUAGUAAUGAGGCUAUAUACAGGAAGUACCAGUUAGUAAUGAGACUAUAUACAGGAAGUACCAGUUAGUAAUGAGACUAUAUACAGGAAGUACCAGGUAGUAAUGAGACUAUAUACAGGAAGUACCAGGUAGUAAUGAGGCUAUAUACAGGAAGUACCAGGUAGUAAUGAGACUAUAAACAGGAAGUACCAGGUAGUAAUGAGACUAUAUACAGGAAGUACCAGGUAGUAAUGACACUAUAUACAGGAAGUACCAGGUAGUAAUGAGACUAUAAACAGGAGGUACCAGGUAGUAAUGAGACUAUAAACAGGAAGUACAAGGUAGUAAUGAGACUAUAAACAGGAAGUACCAGGUAGUAAUGAGGCUAUAUACAGGAAGUACCAGGUAGUAAUGAGGCUAUAUACAGGAAGUACCAGGUAGUAAUGAGACUAUAAACAGGAAGUACCAGGUAGUAAUGAGGCUAUAUACAAGGAGGACCAGUACUGAGUCAAUGUGCAGCGAUACCAGGUAGAGAAUUGAGGUAAUAUGUACAUGUAGGUAGAUAGGGGUAAAAGUAACCAAUCAGGAUAGACAAUAAACAGAGUAGCAGCAGCCUAUGUGUGAGUGUGUGAAUGAGUGUUAGUGUGUCUAUGUCUAUGUGUGUGUGUGUGUCUGUGUGUCUGUGUGUGUGUGUGUGUGUGUG